ACACAGGUUUGUUUCAAAACCACCAAAGAAAUCUAUUUAAAAUUUUU
rfam:Merops nubicus contig14080, whole genome shotgun sequence.